AAUUUAGUUAGCUAGAAGUUUGAUAAUUAAUACACGAGAUUUGUAAAAAUUUGUAAAAAAUCGAGUUUUGUAAUUUAGAUAGAACAUAUCAGAGGAAUAAGUAUCAGCUAACUCUCUAUACCGGUAGCCACAAUAAGACAAAGGAUGCAAGCGUUAUUCAGAAUAAUUGGGCGUAAAGCGCUUAUUGGUGGCUUGUCAAGUCCGCCGUCAAAUUUUAGGGCUCAACCUUGAACAGGCGGUGGAAACUAUCAAGCUGGAGUACGAUAGGAGCAAGAAAAUUUCCGGUGAGGAUGAAAUGCGUAGGGGAUUGGAAACAACAUCAACGGGACCUUAGAGCUUAUAUUAACUCAUAUAUAUAUCUCUUUAUCGAUCAUUUCAAUU
rnacentral:ncRNA from 1 species